rnacentral:rRNA from 1 species
AUUCCAGCUCCAAUAGCGUAUAUUAAAGUUGUUGCAGUUAAAAAGCUCGUAGUUGGAUUUCUGGCAGGAGUGACUGACCACAAACUCUGUUUGUGAGUUGUGUCAUUCUGGCCAUCCUUGGUAAGAUCCUUUUUGGCAUUAAGUUGUCGGGAAGGGGAUGACCAUCGUUUACUGUGAAAAAAUUAGAGUGUUUAAAGCAGGCUUAUGCCGUUGAAUAUAUUAGCAUGGAAUAAUAAGAUAGGACUUUGAGUCUAUUUUGUUGGUUUGCGAGUCAAAGUAAUGAUUAAUAGGGACAGUUGGGGGUAUUCGUAUUUCAUUGUCAGAGGUGAAAUUCUUGGAUUUCUGAAAGACGAACUACUGCGAAAGCAUUUACCAAGGAUGUUUUCAUUG